GACGGGGGGUCCUAGCGUUGUUCGGAAUUAUUGGGCGUAAAGCGUGUGUAGGCGGUUUUGUAAGUUAGAUGUGAAAGCCCCGGGCUUAACCUGGGAACUGCGCUUGUUACUGGCAGGCUUGAGUGUGGCAGAGGGGGGUGGAAUUCCACGUGUAGCAGUGAAAUGCGUAGAGAUGCGGAGGAACACCGAUGGCGAAGGCAGCCCCCUGGGCUAACACUGACGCUCAGGCACGAAAGCGUGGGGAGCAAACAGG
rnacentral:rRNA from 1 species